rnacentral:rRNA from 1 species
UACGUAGGGACCAAGCGUUGUUCGGAUUUACUGGGCGUAAAGCGUGCGUAGGCGGCUUUUCAAGUCGAUUGUGAAAUCCCCGGGCUUAACCUGGGAACUGCAGUCGAGACUGUCUAGCUAGAGUAUGGGAGAGGGAAGUGGAAUUUCAGGUGUAGCGGUGAAAUGCGUAGAUAUCUGAAGGAACAUCAGUGGCGAAAGCGACUUCCUGGACCAAUACUGACGCUCAUGUGCGAAAGCGUGGGGAGCAAACAGG